UUUGAACCACUUUUGCGUCAAAACACUUCAAUCAAAACAAUAUGCGAGCGCAUAUGUCGAUAGUUUACGUUUACAUGCUUUUGAUUUUGGAAGCAAAUCAUAGCUGAAAAAUGUACAUUCCGUCAAUAUCUGUGAUAAUAUGUUUAAUAUUCACAUGUUACAUCGCCCAUUCCGUAUAUACGCUGGUUGCGCUAUUUCGGCUGCCAACAUGCAGUCAAGCUCCGUGUUUUCAAUCAUACCUUGCCAAGGAACCACAACUUCAACUAGUUCUAUUCACAUCAUCAACCAGUAAUCCAUUAAAUAGCGAAGUUUCAAAAAUCCAUUCCAUCCAGAAUUUUAAUUGUAAUAAUGCUCUUCAAAGGACCCUCCACAUCAAUAUUCCCGCUGAAACGAGGCGAAAUGGGACACUAUACAUGCAUUUCAUCUUGACUGCUGACAGUAGAAAAGAUUUCACAUGGAAGUCAUUAAAACAGACCGAUCCUACUGUUAUUCAGAAAAUGCGUCUAACAGAAUACAAAUUACCCAAGACAACGACGUUCGGUUUGUUAGGCGAUGAGGCAAAACAAAAGAAAGCCUCCUCCAACAAACCCGUGACACACAUACAGACAAAAGUGUUCCUAAAUGUUUUGACAGAUCUCUUUCAAAUGUCGGCCGUAGAUGUACCGCCGGAACUGGCAAAAUAUGUACAAAUUAAUCGUUAUAAUGAAUUUCUACCUAUCCUGUAUGUAGAUCAUUUGAAUACUCGGCAGCAGGACCUUAUGGAAAUUUCGCAAAAGAGUACAAAUUUCACACUAGAAUUCAACUACACACCGAUAGGAGUUGGCAAGCUCAAACUGUUCGUUCAUGUGGAACAAGCGAUACUCGCACUCAAAAGCAUGGGAUUUUCUAAUAAAGAUAUAGACGAAGUGAAAGGAAUUUUCUCAAACACCAAUUUGUAUCUUCUUUGUGGCACGGUAUUUAUAGGAAGCAUACACAUGCUCUUUGAUUUUCUUGCAUUCAAGAAUGAUAUACAGUUUUGGAAUCGUAGAAAAAAUUUCGCUGGUCUAUCUGCAAGAUCAGUAUUGUGGUGUGCUUUCAGUCAAAUUGUUAUAUUCCUCUACCUGUUGGAUGAAGAUACGUCUCAGCUUGUGCUAAUUCCUUCCGGAAUAGGUGCAUUCAUCGAGAUAUGGAAAACUAAGAAAAUAUUCCGAAUCAACUUCAACUGGGCUUCAAUUAAAAAAUCUGCCUUCACAAAUAAUAAAAAAGCAUUGAUUGAAGCCGAAAGCACCACACGAGCUUUUGAUAAACAGGCGAUGGAAUACUUGGGAUAUAUACUAUAUCCACUUUGCAUAUGCGGAGCGGUUUAUUCUUUGAUCUACCAACCAUACAAGAGUUGGUAUUCGUGGAUCAUAAACUCACUCGUUAACGGGGUAUACGCAUUCGGGUUCUUGUUUAUGUUACCUCAACUGUUUAUCAACUAUAAGAUGAAAUCGGUCGCAACAUUACCGUGGCGUGCGUUGAUGUACAAAGCAUUCAACACUUUCAUUGACGACGUUUUUGCAUUCAUCAUCACGAUGCCAACUUCGCAUCGCAUCGCAUGUUUCCGGGAUGACAUCGUUUUCAUAAUAUAUCUGUAUCAAAGAUGGCUGUAUCCUGUAGACAAAUCAAGGUUGGACAACGAUCUAUCUGUAAUCGGUGAAAUUGAUGCACCUGAGAAUGGAGAGCAACGCUCCAAGAAGGAUAAUUAGACUAUCGUAGAGUUUUAUAGGAGCAUCGCCAAUGUCCGGCUAAAUUAUGGGCCCUAUUCCAGAAAACGAGACGAGCGCAGAAGCCGAGCUCGACUAAAAACAGAGGAGUAGCUCGUCUGGCUCGACGACCGUUUGGCCGCACUCGUCGAUGAAUCAGUAGAAUCGUCCAGUUUGUUUGAUGUGUUUGUUCACCUUGUUGAUUGAAAGCAUCGGUAUUCUUCUGCUCCGCCUUUAUCUUCAAAAAAUGUUUCACGGCUAAACUAGUAUUGCAAAAGCAAUAUUUUCAAAUGGACCUCUCCCAAACAACAAAACCAAAUGUAAACAUUGAACUAAUAUCCUGGGAUGCUAGAUGACUGUUUUGGAUAUAUGAACACGGCACGAAAAGGAUCUUCACAUAUUGAACGAAAAUGAGUAAUUCAAAACAACUACUUUAUUGGAAAUACAUAUAUAUAUAUAUAGAUUUAAAACUUUUCUUGAUAAAUCGUUGAUUAGGUGAACAAACAUUGCCCCCAAUAAAUCCAUAAUAACAAAACGUCUGAGUGAUAAAACCAUAUGCUCGAGGAAAAAUAUCAAUGAAACCAAAAGAUAUAUGAAACUUAUUGACGAAUUUACGUUGGAUUUACAAACAGAUGGCGCAGCGAGUAAAAUGAGGAUGUUUGGUUUUUUUGGUAUGAAAUUCGUUCAAAUUUUCUAGAAAAAUCAGAAUUUUUCUUCAAGUUUCCCGGUUUCAUGUAUUCUUUCCACGCUGAAAAGGUUAGAAAAUCAUCAUUUUACAAUGUGCUAUGUAUAUUACGAGGAAUGGCUUGUUAUAAGUGUUGUAACUUUAAUUUUUUUCAACUAAGUAAACGAUGAAUAGGGUGUUUUGCGCUAAAAAUACUGCAAAUCCUUCUCGUAUCGGCCCCCACAUAAUCAAUGAUAUCAGCCAAUUUGAUAUGAUAUCGAUUUCAUCGCAAUUAUCCAUAGUAUCAAUAACCGGUAUGCAUCAUCAAACUUAAAAUUUUCAAAGAUUAUCUAUGACUUUGGUCAAAUCGCGUGUUGAAACCAUCGUAACUAUACAGAACUCCCACUUUCUUACCAUAUACUGACGACAUUAAAUGGCUGAAAUGAAUC